GCUUGACUGUAUCUUGGAAUUGGUCGGGCUUUCUUGCGCAGACUAGGUGGGAGGCUAUGAAGAUUUUCUUCUGGGAAAGUUGGAGCAACAGUGAGAGACCACUCUGGAAAGGCUAGAUCCUAAAUGGUGAUCCUUGAAUCAGGAACUUGACAGUUUCAGGUGGGCAGUUUUUCUGGGGCGGAAGCCUCAUAAAAGGUAACUGAGGCGCGCAAAGGUCCCCUCAGUCUGGACGGAAUCAGACAUUGAGUGUAAAGGCAAAAGGGGGCUUGACUGCAAGACCACAAGUCGAGCAGGGCGCGAAAGCUGGCCUUAGUGAUCCGACGGUGCCGUGUGGAAGGCCGUCGCUCAACGAAUAAAGUUAU
rnacentral:rRNA from 1 species